UACGUAGGGACCAAGCGUUGUUCGGAUUUACUGGGCGUAAAGGGCGCGUAGGCGGCUUAACAAGUCACUUGUGAAAUCUCCGGGCUUAACUCGGAACGGCCAAGUGAAACUGUCAAGCUAGAGUGCAGAAGGGGCAAUCGGAAUUCUUGGUGUAGCGGUGAAAUGCGUAGAUAUCAAGAGGAACACCUGAGGUGAAGACGGGUUGCUGGGCUGACACUGAGGCGCGACAGCGUGGGGAGCAAACAGG
rnacentral:rRNA from 1 species